GAGUAUAUGAUAUUUUUUAAACUGAGCCAAUCCUGGGGAACCUGGGGUCUUAUGCUAAUCCUGUGGCUUUUGUCAUUAAAAGUGCCUGUAAUGGCUGCUCAG